AAUAAUUGAGGCAACAUGGAUUUUGGAAUGCAGAACCUCAGAACUACCAAACAUGCCCUGGAACAGAGAAUCACUAAGAUACUCACCUUGUGCCACUUUGCAACUGGAUUUUGAAGAUGCCAAGGGCCAGGACACUCCUGUGAACCUCACUGACAGCUGGAUGGACCUGGCAGAGAGAACUCAUCUGGUCUCAGCCCUUUUGCAGGCUAGAACAACCACACAAAUUACUUGUCCAACCUCAGGUUGCUGUUGCUGUUACCCUUAUCAAUGGAAACUCACUAGAACAGAGGAAUAUCAGCUCAUCUUACCUGGCAUUUUCAUGUGAAAUCACUUUCUGCACGCAGGUAAGUACCACCCUAUGCACACAUAAAUACUAUCCCCACAGGAA
rnacentral:lncRNA from 12 species